rnacentral:rRNA from 1 species
GAUGAACGCUGGCGGCGUGCCUAAUACAUGCAAGUCGAGCGAACGGACGAGAAGCUUGCUUCUCUGAUGUUAGCGGCGGACGGGUGAGUAACACGUGGAUAACCUACCUAUAAGACUGGGAUAACUUCGGGAAACCGGAGCUAAUACCGGAUAAUAUUUUGAACCGCAUGGUUCAAAAGUGAAAGAAGGUCUUGCUGUCACUUAUAGAUGGAUCCGCGCUGCAUUAGCUAGUUGGUAAGGUAACUGCUUACCAAGGCACCGAUGCAUAGCCGACCUGAGAGGGUGAUCGGCCACACUGGAACUGAGACACGGUCCAGACUCCUACGGGAGGCAGCAGUAGGGAAUCUUCCGCAAUGGGCGAAAGCCUGACGGAGCAACGCCGCGUGAGUGAUGAAGGUCUUCGGAUCGUAAAACUCUGUUAUUAGGGAAGAACAUAUGUGUAAGUAACUGUGCACAUCUUGACGGUACCUAAUCAGAAAGCCACGGCUAACUACGUG